AUUGGCAUUGGUCAUCAAAAAAACUAGUCAAGACUCCAACACAUACGCCCUAAACUAACAUUCAUCCAUCCUUUUUAGAUAUUCCAAUUUUUAAAGAGAAUGACUUCUUUCUGGUUGUUUUGAAUUUGUAUUUCGGGUACACAUGUCAAAUGAAUAACAUGAACUUUUGCUUGGCUUAAAACUCUGUAGUUUUAUUUCCUGACAGUGAAUUGUAACAUAAACAGAUCUAAUUCCUAAUCAAGAGCUCAAGCCUUUCUUGUCUUACUUUUAGAAUCAAACAUCCAAAGCUAUCAUUUUCAUCCAUGUAAUAAUGGCCCAUUAACUUUUUCCAUCCUUAUGGUAUUACUUUCUUUUUGCAACUUCAGCUGUCAGCACUGACAUGAAAAAUCUAAACAUGAAAGAGAUCAGCUGAGACUUGUCAAUGCAUUAAAUUUAGCAAAACUGGAACGGCACAGGCCCACUUGCCUGAAGCAAGAAGUUACCUGCAACAAUUCAGUAUGAUGUCAUAUUUUUAAAGGUGUGGCUUUUUCUCAGAAAUAAGGAGGCCUAAUGAAAAAAAAAGCCACCAUCCCUGCUAUUUAUCAGUGAGCUGGGGAUUCCCAAAGAUUUACGCUCCUGGGUGGAGGAGAGUUGCAGGAAUGGAAGUGUUGCACAUUCCUGACGAAUGGCAUCAGACUUCCCAUCAGAGGAGCGGGAGGGAAUUGGAAAAUCUAUCCCUCAUUUUCCAAGUUGAAAUAAAAGCAGUUAUAGGUUGUGAAGUGGAAAAGGAGUUCGCUUUCAGGCACGUGCUUUUGCUGUUGAGGUCGGGGGCGGGGCGGAGGUGCGUUCAGGGGCGGAACUAAUGCAAAACCGCAACCUACUGUCUUUAAUACUUUCAGAAUAAAACGAGAACUACAACCAUGAAAUCCAGAGAUGGAUGAAAACCACAUGCCAUCAAUGUGCUGCGUUGGCAAACUGGUUUCUAGGACAGAUUUGAUAUUUUUGCUGACAGAGAAGUUUCCCAGACAGAAAUUUCAAGAUCUGUGGGAUUUCACUAAAACCAGGUAGAGUCUGUGCUUGGAAACCGGUGUGCGUUUCACGUGUGGAAAAAACACUGCAAUGAAAGCGGCUAUUAUUUUGUCAAGUAGGCCAGUCAUCAUUAGUCAGUCAGAUCUCAGAGGAUGACUCCCAGGUUUAACUGACAAUGCUCUAUAAUUCUGGAAACAUGAAGUCUGGGGUUCACAGUGAAGAACGUGUAGGAAAAGUAGAUCACCUUGCUUAGACACAGACACAAUGCAUGGGACGCGCCGUUCAUAUGGAGGAUUGGCUAUGGUGCGAAAUUGUAGCCAGACAUUCCGAUGUGGUGACACACACACACACACACACACACACACACACACACACACACACACACACACACACACACACACACACACACACACACACAGAAAAUCACCCAGAGCUCCACUUAUUGUCCUCCUGUCGGCAGCUACUGAGCGAAAACAUGAUGCUGCAUUCGGGUACGAUUAGAUAUAUUCAUGUUUAAAACCUUAUUAGUCACAAGUAAACGAAACGCUUAGUUCAUAAAUCAGAUACAAUACGGUGGCAUUAGAUUAGGUCGUUUUACAAAGUACCCCAGCGCAGUUGCAUUUAUGACUCGUUGUUAUUCAAUCACUGGCUUUGCCUUGGCCGACUGCUUUCCAUUUUUUAAAGCCUUAAAGGCAAAUAUCUGUGGAUUUUAAUUGUUUUAUUUCAUUUUCUUAUACAUCACACUAGCCUCGGUUUAACUGUCUGUGUAACCUCACGGUGCUUGUUUACUUUUGUACCAGUUCUCCCAUGUAAACAUUGCAUGUUAAUCCCUUAAAAAUCUUAACGUAACAGACUUUCCUGUCUAAUUAUCUGUUACAAAAAGCUAAGCUUAUAAAGUAUGAAGAAGUACUGAGGUUCUAUGUAUGUUUUUUUAUUAUGACAUAAUAACCCAUUUGAGUGGUCGUUUGGAAUUGUUUUCAGGUGAAAAGCAAUAUUCCGAGGAGCACCUGAACGCACCACUGAGGAAAGCGGUUUCUCACAGCAGCACAAGCUGCUGCAUCAACUGUCUCUGUCCACGAGUGCCGUGGAGCAAGUCAGACAGCAUUAAAACUUAGAAAACCAAACGAGGAACUUGUCUCUUUGGGGAAUUUUGAUGGAUGCUUUUUGUAUUUUACGACAUCUGUGGGUAAGUUUGUUUCAUUGCAUUCUCAAAUGUCAGGUAUAUUGACGACGUUCAGACACUUGAGUGUUAGGUUGCACGAAUGUCUUGGUCGGGAGUGUGGUUUGUCUGUGAAGUUACUCAUUGUGUCAGCGGUUGGCAAAUUGCUGUCCAUGAACCCCAAAGUACCGUGGAGCUUUCCUUAUUUUUGUGUUAUUGCAUUUGCCUGUGUUUGCCUUUGUUUAAGCUGAUAUGUGUGUGAAAAAGUUUGUCAGGUUGACUUAAUUUCAGUUGAGACACCAGUUUCCGAAAAGAAAACACCAAAACCCUUCGUAAAAUAGAUGGAGUUUGUGCUGGUGUCUGUGUUUAAUUUGAUUGAAAAGUUUAUUUAAUUUAAUAUCAACCUUCGUUUCUUCGUGCUUUUUUCGAGAUGCAUAUAGUUCGUAAGUUGAUACUACUCUCAAAGUUGUUUUUUCCUUUUCAUAUAUUGAGUUUAUCCACGAAAAGUGAAAAAAAAAAAACUAUUAUGUGGAGGACUUAGUUGCCAAACCUAUAUUUCACUUUAUUGUUGCUUGUGCACGCGUGUUUGUUAGUUUUAAAGUGUGACAGGUCAGACAUUGUUUACAUUAGCUGAGUCCCUGAGGCAUCUCUUUGUAACUUGUUACCUUUAACCACUUACAUAGCUAAUGCUUAGGUAAAAGUUCCUUUUAAUCGUUAUUAAAUAGUUUUAUCACUUCCAAAUUGACCCUAAAUGCAAAUACAGCAGGAAUCAGAAUCUGUGGCAGAACUUUUGAGACAAAUAGACAACUAAACUAAAGCAUGGAUACAUAUGACAGUCAGGCACACCAAGAGAUAAACAAUGGAUAGCAGGGAGAUAUUUGCUGUCUAAAGCAUAAAACAUAAGGGAUAAUAAGUCUGGUGGUUAAACUACAGUUUGCAGCAUUGUUGAUCAAAAGAUCAUUUUAACGGCCUGGUUGACUGUCUCAGUUUUGAAGUGAUGGUAGAGUCUUUAUGCCUAAACUUCUCUCAAGUUUAAAACAGGUUUUACUUUAACCUCUUGUCAUUAUUUCUACUACAACAUCAAAACAUACUGUCAGCCUAGCCGUUGGAGGGAAGGUGUGGUGAUAUUUUCAGAUAAAACGGACAGGGAUGGGAGACUGGUUGGACUUGUUGUUUUCAAACUUCUUGUUUAUUUAAUUCCUGGGUUCCCUGAUUUGUUCAGCUGUGGAUCAACUUUAGACUGUAUAUUGGUUACAUAAUAGUUUUCCCGAUGAUUCAGAGAUUGAUUACAUGCAGCCACAACUGCCCUUUGACAUUAUUAAGAUAAACUUGUGGGUUUUGCACCUUUCUUCAGAGAAAUAUGUGAAAUGACAAGCAGGUUAGAGUUGCACCCAUGUCACCUGUCUUAAGUGCUAUGACCUCUGUGUGUUGUUAGGUGCACAACUUGAGCUAGUAGGCCAAUCAGCUUUGAAUCUAAACACAUAUCAUUAUGAAACAUAAUAUUGUUGUACACAUUUUAAUUUGAAAUAAUUUUUUAUUUCUGAGUAUGCAUUUGCAUUAUUUCUAGCACUUUUUCUAAUGUGUCUUAUGAAUGUUACAUGCAAAGCUGAAGUUAAAUAAGAUUUUGAACUGUUAAGUUGAUUUUAUGAUGAGGGUUGAUGAGGCGUUCUGGAGGCUGGCAUUCUGCCUCCUCUGUAAUAGCUAUUGUGUGCCCACCUGUCAGUCAACCCUCUGGUAAUAACGACAAACUUGUAACCUUAAUAUUUUGUGGCUUCACUGUUGGGACCAACUUUUUUCUUAGCUCAAAAUUGUCCCUGAUAUCAGCUCAUGACUUGGAGGAUGCUUCAAUUAGGAGGUAAUUGAUAUAAAGAAUUAAUUGGAUGAAUACUUAAAGCUUCUGUGAGGAACUUGGUUUGUGUCAAACCUGGCGCCCCCUGUGGACAAAGCAGUCCUUGCUUAUCUUGUCCGCUUCAUGCUUGAGUGGUGAUUUAUGAUCUAAAAUCUUAUCUAAUCUAAAUCUGAUCUAAAAACUUUUGACAGCCAAAUAUAUCAUUCAUGCUGAAUAGUUUAUGUAAAAAUUGUACUAAGGGGGGUGAUUCUCCAGCUGUAAGGCUUGGACCUACCGUCUUGCACUGGUCUCACACAAUAAAAAUAAGGAUUUCAAAAUCUUCAGUCUUGUUGCUGAUGGUUUUGAUUGCUUUUGUGUAUCAUUAAAAGGCAUCGCUUUAAAGGAAAAUGUGCAUGCCAUGUAAUGGUGCACAAUUAAUCCUCAUCUCCAAAACUCAGCAUGCAUCUGAAACAAAGGAAAAUUGUGUUUCUUAAAUCAGACCUCUCCAUCUGAUUAUUUGAUUUUCAGCCACAGCUACAAGUGUGUUUGUGUUGAGAAAAACUCUGCACUGAUUGCUAAAAAGCCAGCACUCAUUCAUUUUGCCUUUCAUUUUCAGCAAUUGUCCGUUUUGACUCAUCUUUUUUUCUGCCUCAGUUAAUCACUUCUUGCUCGCACACACUCACCAUUCACACACUAAUCCGCCAUGAAAACACAGCCACUCAUUCUUGAGUCAGCCUCUCUCCCUCUGCAAUGCACAUACAAUCUUAUAUACACACACUUUCUCACAUUGAGCCCCACUCUCUGUUUCUGUGCUGUUUCCACUGGAGUUUCUCUCUGCCCUGCCCUCUAAUCAAAGCCAUAUGUUCUCCAAGUCCCUCGCAUGAACAGUCUGCUCUGUUUGCAGAACUGUUUCAGCACAACAAGCCUUUCGCUCUGUUACUGGCAGGAGGAGACUGUUUUGAAAGUGAAAGGUAACCUGUGAAAUAUUUCAGCUUGUUGUUUCAUCCUUCGAAGUUUCUUGAACCCUGUAUGUUGUUGAUGUUGCAGGUAUUGUCUCCAUGGUGAUCACAUUGGUAAUAGGAAGCAGGGGUCGUUUUCCUUUGCUCAAAUCUCUCUUAUACCUCGCUUACUUGUGUUACUGCUUCAGUAUUUGGUCUCUUUGGUAUCACAAAAUCUUGACUAAUCAAAGCACCGUUUCUGAUAUUAUGAAGCGUCUCAGGCUGAAUAUACUUUCACUUUGUUAUUAUCAAAUGCAGGAUCCAGGAGGCCACGCUGGCGCUGCUCAAGCUUAUUAAUCAAACAAACUUUUCCAGUGUGGCCUCAUUAAGUGACCAUGACUAAUACAAACAUAACCAGCACUCUUGUUAUGUGGGGACCCACCACAAACCACCAUGUGACUCAUUAUGGAUCCAGACCCUAAUAUGUAAUAAUACUCCCUUCAAAUGAAGCAUAAUGCAAGUUCUAAACCCUCCUAAGAAGUGAGAUGCCACCCUGUGUAUCUAGUUCAAGAUCAAGCUCAGAUUCAAUCCAGAUUUCUCUAAUGACUAGUACAGAGCGGUGGAUCAAAAGCGGUUUCUUUUAAUCACCUCUUGACCACUUGACCCAUGAUUCUUUGCUAAAGCUGGACCCCCCUGGUAACUUUGAAAAGGGGCCCUUUGAAUUUGCUCGAACUUGACAUAAGUGAAGAUUCAGGCUCUAUUUUGAUGUUGACUUAAGAAAUUGAAUGAUAAAGAGAGUAUUAAGUCAUCACUCUUAAAUCAGUCUCCUUUGUGCAAUUAAGAAGAAGAAUCUUAAGUUAAUGUCUAAUUUUUACAACAAAAGAUGUUGAUUUUGGUUAAUUUAGAGUCGAAUGAGGAGUUAGCAGAGCAGUAAUCUAGUAGAUGCUGCAGUGGUUCAACUUCAGGCUGGGAUAAGAGAGGAACAAUCACUUUAUUGAUUAUGGCUUGAUCCAAGUUUCUUUUUGCCAGAUUAAACACAGUUGGUGACAACAGUCUAAAUAAAAGUGCAGUAUCCUAAUGUAAAUACAAACUAUAACAUGCUUUCUUGUUUCAAAACUGCAUUUUUCGCAAGGCACAUAAAGUUAUUUUAACCCAUCAGAUACACUGAUCUGCCCUUUUUGUCUAGGUCUUUGUGUUGCAUGCCCACAUUGGUUUGUUUCUAUUCAACUGCAACCAGUUAGAGGAAUGUGGUUCUAUUGUAGUCAUAUGAUGUGUCUUUUCUUCUCUCUGCCCCACUGUGUAAAAGAGAGGGGGUUCUUUGCAUGAGGAGUGCAGAUUUAAAGGAGACUGACUGUGUUGGAUUUACUGGUACAGAUGGCUGAAUACUGAUUUUCCAUAGACUUUGCCAGCAGGAGUGUCUUCUCUGUGACACGUUCUCGACAGUCCAACAAUCACAGUUUGCCAUAACAAUAAACAAAUGACUGAAACUUGUGUUUUCACUUUCUCGUAGCAGUGCAGUUAUAGUUUGAGCAUCAUCCCAUUGUAUUGGUAUGCCCUUUUCCCCCUACACAGCAAAGACAGGGAUUCCUUCUCUCUGACCUGCUUAUUUGGCUUCAGGAAUGCCAAAGAGCCAACUCUGAACAUAGUUUGAAGUAUUUAGUGGAAUAUUUUGAAAGCUCAGGAGGAUCAGUAACAUUUGAGCUAAGUCUUAACACCAAUUCUAGUUUUUCACUCACUUUCUCUGUCUUCACUCUACAGCGUUGAAGUAAGCUUUAGAAUAAUCAUUAGCAUGGAGCAUAAAAGACUUUGACUGUCAUUUGUGGUUCUGCUCUCUGCCUCCCUGAUCAUUCUUUACUUUCCUCCACUCCAUGUGAGAUUGGACCUCAUCAUUCCAGGCCAUGAGUCAUCAUUGGGAUGAGUUGUGAAAUAAUCCCCCAUGAAUGAGCAUUAGAAAAAGGCUUUAUGUAAGAGUGGCAGCUCCCUAUUGAGGGGAUAAGUGAUCAUUUAGGACAGGGGUUGAAAAACUGGUGUAUUCCUGGGACACAGACUCAUUAGCAAAAACUGUUAAUCAUUUAAAUGAGAGGGAAGAAUAAGAAGCAGCAUCAAUAUAGGACUCACAUUUAUUUCAAGUAGUCAAAGGUGGGCUUGUUUGUGAACAUUUUUACCACUCAAAUACAUGGAUUUGCUAAAGGUCUGUAUC